rnacentral:lncRNA from 1 species
AAUGUAAGACUUUAAGUAGAUCAUUGCUUUCAUAUAGCAUGUUUUUUUCUGUGACAUGCUGAGAAUAUAAGCAUAUGUAUAUAAAUUGUGGAGCAGCAUGUGUUCGGUGGACUAGCAUUAAGUAAGACUUGAGAGAGGCACUAUAGAAAGAACAUGGGCUGCUGUGUGAUCACGACCAAGUUAUCUAAUCUACCCAUGUGUAAGAUAGGAAUAUUUCAUGUCUCAAAGAGGGCUGAUGAGGAGUUAAUGAGUUACUAUAUGGAUUUUAUAUAAUAGUAGUUAUUCUAAUAACACAUGAGUGUUGCUACUGUUAUUGCACUGCAGAAAUUAUGUUUCAAAUGUAUACUAAACAGAUCCAAGGUGUGACUCAAAGUGAUGUAGCUGUAUUAGGAAAUCUCUUCCACAGGAAAUGAGGUCAGAGAUACAAGUAAUUAGUUUGAGCUGAAAUACAAUAAUAAUUCAUUUCCAUGAAAACUUGAGAAUUAAUCUAAUUUAGAAAUCAUUUUCUACUAAUAGGCAAUGUGAGGUAUGCAGGCAUAUUUAAGACAUCUUAGGUUAAUUGUAUGAAAUGGAAAUGGGAUUGUAAUUUCUUUGCUCUAAACUGUUAAUAUAUUGCUAAUAAAAUAAGUAGAUAUUAGUUUUGUUUAUAAAAUAAAAGCUAUAUGAAUAUUGGCACAAUUCACUGAAGCAAUAAAGUACCUUUAAAGUAAGUAAGACUAAGACAGCAGGAAGCAGGACACUUGAAAUAUUUUAUCAAACUAAUACAGAAACAGCAGAAAAUCAGAGCAAAAGAAAUGUCACAGGAGACUGAUUAUAGUAAUCCCGCCCAGCUGUCCACAGCAGGAUUCCUUGUGAUAUGAUUUGAGGGGAUAGUAGAGAACCAUUUGACAAUUUCUUCUUUGACAAGGCUGUCAUUAGCUCAGAAUUCUGCCUUUUGAGCUGAGGCUUUGGGUUCUAG